rnacentral:SRP_RNA from 1 species
CGGAGGCUGGCAUGGACGAGUGCCUCGCCAACCGGGUCAGGUCCGGAAGGAAGCAGCCCUAACGAGUUUCUCUCGGGUCGUGCCAGUCUCUUCUU